GACAGAGGAUGCAAGCGUUAUCCGGAAUGAUUGGGCGUAAAGCGUCUGUAGGCGGCUUUUUAAGUCUGCCGUCAAAUCCCAGGGCUUAACCCUGGACAGGCGGUGGAAACUACCAAGCUGGAGUACGGUAGGGGCAGAGGGAAUUUCCGGUGGAGCGGUGAAAUGCGUAGAGAUCGGAAAGAACAUCAACGGCGAAAGCACUCUGCUGGGCCGACACUGACACUGAGAGACGAAAGCUAGGGGAGCGAAUGGG
rnacentral:rRNA from 1 species